rnacentral:sRNA from 1 species
AGCAGCCGCGGUAAUUCCAGCUCCAAUAGCGUAUAUUAAAGUUGUUGCAGUUAAAAAGCUCGUAGUUGAAUUUCGGGAUCAAUUGAUUGGUCAUGCCUACGGUAUGUACUAGUCAUAUUGGUUCUCACCUUCUAAUGAACCUUAAUGUCAUUCACUUGAUGUUUUGGGGAAUUAGGACUGUUACCUUGAAAAAAUUAGAGUGUUUAAAGCAGGCUUACGCUUGAAUACAUUAGCAUGGAAUAAUGAAAUAGGACAUCGCAUUCUAUUUUGUUGGUUUCUAGGAUCGAUGUAAUGAUUAAUAGGGAUAGUUGGGGGCAUUAGUAUUCAAUUGUCAGAGGUGAAAUUCUUGGAUUUAUUGAAGACUAACUACUGCGAAAGCAUUUGCCAAGGAUGUUUUCAUUAAUCAAGAACGAAAGUUAGGGGAUCGAAGACGAUCAGAUACCGUCGUAGUCUUAACCAUAAACUAUGCCGACUAGGGAUCGGAUGAUGUUAAUUUUUAAAUGA